GUUUGGUCCAAGUGCAGUGGUAUUUACAAUUAAUUGAUCACAACCAGUUACAGAUUCCUUUGUUCCUUCUCCAUUCCCACUGCUUCACUUGACCAGCCUUUA
ensembl:misc_RNA Y_RNA Y RNA